CAGACAAAUGGUCGCGUGUUAUCGACUACCGAUGACACGAGGAAAGUCCGAGCAUCAAAAGAACAGGGUGCUAGUUAACGGCUAGUGAAGGCGACUUUAAGGAUAGUGCAACAGAAAUAGACUGCCAAGUUUUCUUGGCGAUGGUGGAAAGGUAGGGUAAGAGCCUACCGAAAGUUUGGUGACAAACUUUGCUCUGUAAACCCCACCCGAUGCAAGGUUAAGUUUAGGCGACGGCGUUCUUUCCUGCCUAACAAAAAUACCGCUUGAUUUUGCUGGUGACAGCAAAACUAGAUAGAUGACCAUUUGAAACAGAACUCGGCUUACAGUCUGGCUG
rnacentral:RNase_P_RNA from 1 species